rnacentral:rRNA from 1 species
GGAGGCAGCAGUGGGGAAUAUUGGACAAUGGGGGCAACCCUGAUCCAGCCAUGCCGCGUGAAUGAUGAAGGCCUUCGGGUUGUAAAGUUCUUUUGGUGGGGACGAUGAUGACGGUACCCACAGAAUAAGCUCCGGCUAACUUCGUGCCAGCAGCCGCGGUAAUACGAAGGGAGCUAGCGUUGUUCGGAAUUACUGGGCGUAAAGGGCGCGUAGGCGGUUUGGUAAGUUGGGUGUGAAAGCCCAGGGCUCAACCCUGGAACUGCACUCAAGACUAUCAGACUUGAAUUCGGUAGAGGUUGGUGGAAUUCCCAGUGUAGAGGUGAAAUUCGUAGAUAUUGGGAAGAAUAUCCGUGGCGAAGGCGGCCAACUGGACCGACAUUGACGCUGAGGCGCGAAAGCGUGGGGAUCAAACAGGAUUAGAUACCCUGGUAGUCCACGCUGUAAACGAUGCAUGCUAGACGUUGGAAACUUCAGGUUUCUUGUGUCGCAGCUAACGCACUAAGCAUGCCGCCUGGGGAGUACGGCCGCAAG